UUGAUAUACAUGCAGGAAGAGUAAACUACAGAAUACGAGAAAUGAGUUAAAAGAAACUAUUAUAGACAUGUAACAGUGCAAAUGGUGUAAAAAUUGCACUCUCUGAAAAUACAUCUUGUAGAAUAAAAUUUGAACAAGAAGAUUGACGACAUUAAGGUCAUGUUGGAAAAAAUCUUAACAUCAGACUUAUGAUGCAUUUAUAGAAAUAAACGAAGUAAAUUAUGGAGAUGAAUAAAUAUUUGUAUUCAUGUCAACAUGCACAAGCAGAACUUCAAUGGAAAAAAAAACGAAAUAGAAAAACACGGAACAACUAACAAGAAGAGAGAUUAAAUUUACGUAUAAAAUAUGGAAAACAUAGUUGAAUCCAAAGGAUUGCAUUGCUUGGAAAUUAUAACCUUCCAUUUCAAAGUUAUGGUAUUACAGUGUGAAAUUUCAGUGAAGGUUUAUUUUUAGAACAAGGUUCUUAUCGAACUCCCUAAAAAUACUCAGUCGCUACGCUUUACCUUUCAUUUUUUCCGCUUUAAUAAGCAACAAAGACAACAUUCAUAACAGACCAAACUUGAAGACUAUCAACUGUCAGUAUGUAUCCAACUCAAACAUGAAGGCUUUUCAUGGGUGAUUGCACUACUUACUGAUUAAGCAAAAGGCAUAUGCUUCUCCUUAUCCCUUUGCACUAUGCAUCAAAACUAGCAAGAAUAUAACCAUUAAUACAGAUCUGUUCACUUGGGGUAUUCUUCAAGAUAUUCUAGCCAGUUAAGGUCAUAAUUUUUCCAUAUGACGUCUCCAUCCCAGAUGAAUGGUAGAAACCUCACUUUGUGAACAAUAGUGUAAACAUGAGUCCAGGAAAAUGAACAGGAAAUUAUGGAUUGUCUCUUUUUAUUAAAUGCAAAUAUAAUAUAAUAAAGCUAACAACAUACCUAAACUAAUCGACAGAAAAAAAGAAGAUACACAGCAUAACAAUUACUUAAGGGGUCUUCUAGCAAACUCACAUUUUGUAUAGUCUUUCUUAAAAACAACAGAUAAGCUGCCCAAUAACAGGGUAAAAGGUUUCUUUAAAUAAAAUGGAGCUAUAAGCAUAGGCCACUCACUAUGAUAAUACUAGCAGAAGUCAUUGGUUAACAUGAUAGUAGGUAGAGAGGACAGACAUGAUAACAUUUAUGGAAUAUUUGGAGAUGAACUAAAAGUAUUCUAAUCAAUAAUUCUUUCACUAUCACCAUGCACAUUAGCAGCAUCCAAAGAAGACUUUAUCCACUUCCAGUAACAAAUAGAAGAAUAAAAAAAUCAUUUAGUAAGAACCAUAAAAAAUAUAAUGCUCUAAAAGCAAGCCACAAUAUAACAGUUCCAGCAAGUGCCAGCGAAAUGUAAAGGCAGAACGUAGCAAUUAUCAUGAAAUAAGUUUGGGCUUUUUUUAAAAUGAACUAAAUAAAAAAAAGUUCAGGCCGGUUUGAAGGAGGAAUUCGCCCAUAAUGCAUCACUUAUUAUCUUUUCUAAAAUAUUGAAAACCAAGAAAGAUAAAUUGAAGGAAAAAUGAAGCUUCUUAGCUGCAUAAAGAUAAAUUGUUGAAAACCAAGAGUACAAACGCCAAUAGGAGUAUAAGACAUCCCAGUUGAGUCAAAAGAUCUCCAAAAAUACUGACAAGAACCUGUUGUUCUCCUCGUGAAAACAUUUUAAGCAGAAAUCGAGCAGACACGCGUUGAGCAAAAAUAAAAACUUCCAAAGUAAAUCAUGGUAACUUAAGAGUAAUCCAACAGAUUUUUCACAUAUCAGACAGCAAAGAGAAAAAGUAAUUUAAGUAAAACUGAACAAACGAAGAAAAAAUCCACAAAAGAGCAAAAUUGUAACAAAAUUUGAAGUUUCACACGUAGAUCCAGCUAAACUAAGGAAAAAGCAGCGAAAACCAAAGAGGACGUGCUGUAGAACGAGAGACAGAGCCUGAGAGAGACAAACAGACGCAGGAGGAAAUGAUCGUGAAAGAGUCUGGUGGAAAAGUCGAG
rnacentral:lncRNA from 1 species